UACGUAGGGGGCUAGCGUUGUCCGGAAUCAUUGGGCGUAAAGCGCGUGUAGGCGGCCCGAUAAGUCCGCUGUGAAAGUCCAGGGCUCAACCCUGGGAUGCCGGUGGAUACUGUCGGGCUCGAGUCCGGAAGAGGCGAGUGGAAUUCCUGGUGUAGCGGUGAAAUGACGCAGAUAUCAGGAGGAACACCAAUGGCGAAGGCAGCUCGCUGGGACGUGACUGACGCUGAGACGCGAAAGCGUGGGGAGCAAACAGG
rnacentral:rRNA from 1 species